rnacentral:rRNA from 1 species
AUGCAUGUCUAAGUACAGACCGAUCUAAAGUGAAACCGCGAAUGGCUCAUUAAAUCAGUUAUGGUUCAUUGGAACUUACCCAGCUACCUGGAUAACUGUGGUAAUUCUAGAGCUAAUACAUGCACCCAAGCUCCGACCGCAAGGGAAGAGCGCUUUUAUUAGACCAAAACCAAUCGGGCCUCGGUCCGUCCAAUUUGGUGACUCUGAAUAACUUUGUGCUGAGCGCAGGGCCUUGGCGCCGGCGCCCCAUCUUUCAAGUGUCUGCCUUAUCAGCUUUCGAUUGUAGGCUAUGCGCCUACAGUGGCUAUAACGGGUAACGGGGAAUCAGGGUUCGAUUCCGGAGAGGGAGCCUGAGAAACGGCUACCACA